AGACGUGUGCCGAGUGGCUUCCCGCGAGAAGCCCAUAGACCUUUUCGAAAUGUUCCGGCUGUUUUCGCGUCUCUGACUAAUUAAAGUCUCAAUAGAUUUCGACAGCUAAAAGACUGCCUGAGCCCCAAAGCUCCCCACGAUCAGAGCCAAUGGACGAGCGGACAGACGUGCCCCUGUCCAGGGCCAAAGGGUUGAAGCUUAUGACUCAGACCGACUGACAAGCCAACUACUUUCGAAACCCAGAAAGAACUAAAAACGCAAACUUCUUUCUUUAAAUUUCAAGCAACUUAUUAGUCUUCCUAGUGAAACCUUUCGACUCAAUCUACUCAACACAAGAGAAGUGGUCAGCUACUAGAAACAAGAAAACUUCACUCAAGUACAAGCGAUAAGACGAAAGUGAACCAAGAACAAAUAUUUUUAUGAUCUCUUUCGAAGCGGCGUAGCUCAGACAUUCUGUCUUUUACCCUUACCAAAA